UACGGGGGGGGCAAGCGUUGUUCGGAAUUACUGGGCGUAAAGGGUGCGUAGGCGGCUUUCUAAGUUGGAUGCGAAAGCCCACGGCUCAACCGUGGAGGGUCAUUGGAAACUGGGGGACUUGAGUACAGAAGAGAAGAGUGGAAUUCCACGUGUAGCGGUGAAAUGCGUAGAGAUGUGGAGGAACACCAGUGGCGAAGGCGACUCUUUGGUCUGUAACUGACGCUGAGGCGCGAAAGCGUGGGGAGCAAACAGG
rnacentral:rRNA from 1 species